GACGAACGCUGGCGGCGUGCCUAAUACAUGCAAGUCGAGCGAAUGGAAGGGAGCUUGCUCCCUGAAGUUAGCGGCGGACGGGUGAGUAACACGUGGGCAACCUGCCUGUAAGACUGGGAUAACUUCGGGAAACCGGAGCUAAUACCGGAUACGUUCUUUUCUCGCAUGAGGAAAGAUGGAAAGAUGGUUUCGGCUAUCACUUACAGAUGGGCCCGCGGCGCAUUAGCUAGUUGGUGGGGUAAUGGCCCACCAAGGCGACGAUGCGUAGCCGACCUGAGAGGGUGAUCGGCAACACUGGGACUGAGACACGGCCCAGACUCCUACGGGAGGCAGCAGUAGGGAAUCUUCCGCAAUGGACGAAAGUCUGACGGAGCAACGCCGCGUGAGCGAAGAAGGCUUUCGGGUCGUAAAGCUCUGUUGUCAGGGAAGAACAAGUGCCAGAGUAACUGCUGGCACCUUGACGGUACCUGACCAGAAAGCCACGGCUAACUACGUGCCAGCCGCCGCGGUAACAC
rnacentral:rRNA from 1 species